CUUGGAGCUCUUGAUUCCGUGGUGAGGCUCAACAAAACAGCCCCACCAUCCUACCUAUUUAAAGUUUGAGAAUAGGUCGAGGGCGUUGCGCCCCCGAUGCCUCUAAUCAUUGGCUUUACCCGAUAGAACUCGCACGCGAGCUCCAGCUAUCCUGAGGGAAACUUCGGAGGGAACCAGCUACUAGACGGUUCGAUUAGUCUUUCGCCCCUAUACCCAAGUC